GAUGAACGCUGGCGGCGUGCCUAAUACAUGCAAGUCGAGCGAACAGACGAGGAGCUUGCUCCUCUGACGUUAGCGGCGGACGGGUGAGUAACACGUGGAUAACCUACCUAUAAGACUGGGAUAACUUCGGGAAACCGGAGCUAAUACCGGAUAAUAUAUUGAACCGCAUGGUUCAAUAGUGAAAGACGGUUUUGCUGUCACUUAUAGAUGGAUCCCGGCCGCAUUAGCUAGUUGGUAAGGUAACGGCUUACCAAGGCAACGAUGCGUAGCCGACCUGAGAGGGUGAUCGGCCACACUGGAACUGGGACACGGUCCAGACUCCUACGGGAGGCAGCAGUAGGGAAUCUUCCGCAAUGGGCGAAAGCCUGACGGAGCAACGCCGCGUGAGUGAUGAAGGUCUUCGGAUCGUAAAACUCUGUUAUUAGGGAAGAACAAAUGUGUAAGUAACUAUGCACGUCUUGACGGUACCUAAUCAGAAAGCCACGGCUAACUACGUG
rnacentral:rRNA from 1 species